rnacentral:rRNA from 1 species
UACGUAGGGGGCAAACGUUGUCCGGAAUCAUUGGGCGUAAAGAGCGUGUAGGCGGCUCGAUAAGUCCGCUGUGAAAGUCCAGGGCUCAACCCUGGAAGGCCGGUGGAAACUGUCGGGCUAGAGUCCGGAAGAGGCGAGUGGAAUUCCCGGUGUAGCGGUGAAAUGCGCAGAUAUCGGGAGGAACACCAAUGGCGAAGGCAGCUCGCUGGGACGGUACUGACGCUGAGACGCGAAAGCGUGGGGAGCAAACAGG